UUUUCAUCCCAGGGCCACGUGAAUUGCACUUCGAUUCACCCCAAUUGACUUUUCCUUCAGGUUUCAAGUGAAUUUCACGUUACUUUCGAAUGUUUUAAUAUUGAAGUUCGAAAUGAAAAAAUAGUCUAAGUCAAGUCAACAUUAAAUCAGAGUUAGAGCUCUCGCGUUUAAAUUGGAUUAUUCGCCAGAAAAGAGGGGUUUGUUUCUAGAAAUUGUGGCAGGAUUAUUUCUAAAACUAUGGGAACUAUCGUCUGUUUCUCGCCGCCGCUGACUAAAAAUUUCUAAAGUA